rnacentral:rRNA from 1 species
GUCUAUGGGCAUGCCAUCCUGAAAAAGCCUGAUGUCUGAUCUUGGAAGUUAAGCAGGGUUGGGCCUGGUUAGUACUUGGAUGGGAGACCACGUAGGAAGACCAGGUACUGUAGGCA